rnacentral:rRNA from 1 species
GCAGUCGAACGGAAACAGAUCGCUGCGAUCCCUUUGGGGUGAGCUUGAUGCUGUCGAGUGGCGGACGGGUGAGUAAUGCUUGGGAAUCUGCCCAGUAGUGGGGGACAACACGGGGAAACCCGUGCUAAUACCGCAUACGUCCUACGGGAGAAAGUGGGGGAUCUUCGGACCUCACGCUAUUGGAUGAGCCCAAGUCGGAUUAGCUUGUUGGUGGGGUAAUGGCUCACCAAGGCGACGAUCCGUAGCUGGUCUGAGAGGACGAUCAGCCACACUGGGACUGAGACACGGCCCAGACUCCUACGGGAGGCAGCAGUGGGGAAUAUUGGACAAUGGGGGCAACCCUGAUCCAGCAAUGCCGCGUGUGUGAAGAAGGCCUGCGGGUUGUAAAGCACUUUCAGUAGAGAAGAAAUGCCCGGGCUUAAUACCCCCGGGUCUUGACGUAACCUACAGAAGAAGCACCGGCUAACUCCGUGCCAGCAGCCGCGGUAAUACGGAGGGUGCGAGCGUUAAUCGGAAUUACUGGGCGUAAAGCGCGCGUAGGCGGCCUGAUCAGUCGGAUGUGAAAGCCCUGGGCUUAACCUGGGAAUUGCAUUCGAUACUGUCAGGCUAGAGUAUGGGAGAGGGAAGUGGAAUUUCCGGUGUAGCGGUGAAAUGCGUAGAUAUCGGAAGGAACACCAGUGGCGAAGGCGACUUCCUGGCCCAAUACUGACGCUCAGGUGCGAAAGCGUGGGUAGCGAACAGGAUUAGAUACCCUGGUAGUCCAUGCCGUAAACGUUGGGCACUAGGUGUGGGUCUCAACCAACGAGAUCCGCGCCGUCGCUAACGCAUUAAGUGCCCCGCCUGGGG